UACGUAGGGAGCAAGCGUUGUCCGGAAUCAUUGGGCGUAAAGCGCGCGUAGGUGGCCUCAUAAGUCCGCUGUGAAAGUCAAAGGCUCAACCUUUGAAAGCCGGUGGAUACUGUGAGGCUAGAGUACGGAAGAGGCGAGUGGAAUUCCUGGUGUAGCGGUGGAAUUCGCAGAUAUCAGGAGGAACACCAAUAGCGAAGGCAGCUCGCUGGGACGUUACUGACACUGAGGCGCGAAAGCGUGGGGAGCGAACAGG
rnacentral:rRNA from 1 species